GGAACCGUGGUGAAGGGGUAACCGUGGUUGCCUCUCAACCAGUCGGCUUGGGUUCAAUCUCAGACGGUUCCG
rnacentral:tRNA from 2 species